rnacentral:rRNA from 1 species
GAUGAACGCUAGCGACAGGCUUAACACAUGCAAGUCGAGGGACCGGCGCACGGGUGAGUAACACGUAUCCAACCUGCCCUUUACUAGGGGAUAGCCUUUCGAAAGAAAGAUUAAUACCCGAUGUAAAGGAUGGGGAUGCGUUCCAUUAGGUGGUUGGUGAGGUAACGGCUCACCAAGCCUUCGAUGGAUAGGGGUUCUGAGGUGAAGGUCCCCCGCAUUUGAGCUGCGGCACUGUCCCCACUGCUAGGGAGCGCUAGGGUGAGGACUAUUGUUGAAUGGGCUUUAGCCUGACCCAGCCAAGUAGCGUAAAGGUUGUUGGUUUAUUGAACGUCUAUUUCUUUUAUAUAAGAAUCUGUAUUUAAUGAGUAAGGAUCGGCUAACUCCGUGCCAGCAGCCGCGGUAAUAC